rnacentral:rRNA from 1 species
AGUCGAAUGUGCCGCAGGUGCAUGGCAGACGGGUGAGUAACGCGUGGGGAAUCUACCUUUUAGUGGGGAAUAACGAUCCGAAAGGAUUGGUAAUACCGCAUGAGAUUCACGGCUGGGAUGCUGUGACUGAAACCUGGGGACCGCAAGGCCUGGGGCUAGAAGAGGAUCCUGCGUCUGAUUAGCUAGUUGGCGGGGUAACGGCCCACCAAGGCGACGAUCAGUAGCCGGCCUGAGAGGGUGAUCGGCCACACUGGAACUGAGACACGGUCCAGACUCCUACGGGAGGCAGCAGUGGGGAAUUUUGCGCAAUGGACGAAAGUCUGACGCAGCAACGCCGCGUGGGUGAUGAAGGUCUUCGGAUCGUAAAACCCUGUCGUCGGGGACGAAGGUUGGGGUGUUAAUAGCGCUUCAGUUUGACGGUACCCGGAGAGGAAGCCCCGGCUAACUCUGUGCCAGCAGCCGCGGUAAUACAGAGGGGGCAAGCGUUAUUCGGAAUUAUUGGGCGUAAAGGGCGCGUAGGCGGUGCUUUAAGUGAGAUGUGCAAUCCCCGAGCUUAACUUGGGAACUGCAUCUCAUACUGGAGCGCUAGAGUACUGGAGAGGGCGGUGGAAUUCCUCGUGUAGCGGUGAAAUGCGUAUAGAUGAGGAGGAACGCCAGUGGCGAAGGCGGCCGCCUGG